rnacentral:rRNA from 1 species
CUGAAUAACUCAGCCGAUUGCACGGUCUUGUACCGGCAACAUAUCUUUCAAGUGUCUGCCUUAUCAACUGUUGAUGGUAGUUUAUGCGACUACCAUGGUUUUAACGGGUAACGGAGAAUAAGGGUUCGACUCCGGAGAGGGAGCCUGAGAAACGGCUACCACAUCCAAGGAAGGCAGCAGGCGCGUAAAUUACCCACUCUCGGCACGAGGAGGUAGUGACGAAAAAUAACGAGACGGUUCUCUUUGAGGCCCGUUAUCGGAAUGAGUACAAUCCAAACCUUUUAACGAGGAUCUAUCAGAGGGCAAGUCUGGUGCCAGCAGCCGCGGUAAUUCCAGCUCUGAAGGUGUAUACCAAUGUUGUUGCGGUUAAAAC